UACGGGGGGAGCAAGCGUUGUUCGGAUUUACUGGAGCGUAAAGGGCGCGUAGGCGGCGUGACAAGUCACUUGUGAAAUCUCCGGGCUUAACUCGGAACGGUCAAGUGAUACUGUCGUGCUAGAGUACAGAAGGGGCAACUGGAAUCUCGGUGUAGCGGUGAAAUGCGUAGAUAUCGAGAGGAACACCUGCGGCGAAGGCGGGUUGCUGGGCUGAUACUGACGCUGAGGCGCGAAAGCUAGGGGAGCGAACGGG
rnacentral:rRNA from 1 species